rnacentral:rRNA from 1 species
AUGGUACUCCUCCCAAAAACCCUGGCGCCAACAUCUCCAGAUGCUUUUAGACCCAUCUCUCUUCAAAACUGCACUCCAAAAGCAGUGGCCAAAGUCCUUACAAAUAGACUAAAACCACUCAUCCCGCUGCUCAUUCAUUAUGAUCAAACGGGCUUCCUACAUGGACGCAACAUUGCAGAAAAUUUCAUUUAUGCUGCUGAUAUCCUAAGUGCUUGCCACACAUGUAAAGCCCCGACCAUGGUCUUCAAGCUCAACUUCAGGAAAGCUUUUGACUCCAUUUGCUGGUCCUCCCUCAUCGAAAUCCUACAAGCUAGAGGGUUCCCUCCAAUUUUCUGUUCAUGGGUUCAAAACAUCCUGCUCACUGGGAAAACGGCUAUCCUCCUAAAUGGCAUUCUGGGGUCCUGGAUCCAAUGUAGAUGUGGCCUCCGCCAAGGGGAUCCAUUCUCGCCAUACUUGGUCAUCAUUGUUGCAGACGUUCUUCAAAGACUGACCUCCAGCGCUUUCCAAACGAACGUACUUUGCCACCCGCUCCGACCAAACGAACCACCCAUGACACUUCAAUACGCUGAUGAUACCCUGAUAAUUGUUGCUGCUAGCGACGCCGCCACCAUAACUCUCAAAAAAACACUACACGAUUUUGCCCUUGCAACGGGGCUGGUUGUCAACUUCCAAAAAACGGCACUUCUCACCAUCGCCACUAACUCAUCCACUCAAAACAACAUCGCUGCAUCUAUUGGAUGUUCUUUAUCCUCCUUUCCAUUAAUCUACCUAGGUCUUCCCCUCUCCCCUACCAAACUGCCACUCACAGCUUUCGACCCGAUCAUAGACAGCUUUCGGAAAUUCCUCUUCGGUUGGGUUGCGUGCCUGCUCUCACGUGGUGCUCGCCUCACACUGCUGACUGCGGUCCUAGACUCAUUAACAAUUUAUUUCAUGUCAGUCUUUCGCCUACCUUAG